AUUUUUCCAAUAAACAAAGAAUCAGCAUCACUUAGACCAGUUGAAAACGCAGAACUAGAAUACUGUUGAUCAAGAAUACUAGAUGUUUCAGAUACACACGCCUCAAUAAUCCUAGAGGUUAACCUCGGCUGCCAAAAUAAAAAGCUUACCUCAAACAUCAAUCUAUCUUAAAUAAUGAUUUUACAAGGAUUUUUAAAAGGGGUUUAAAAACGUUAAUAAUGAUUUUACAAGAUUUUUUAAAAGGAUUAUUACCUGAGUAGUAGAUGCAGAAUGAGAAGCAAAAGGAUUUGAAGUCGUCUCAGCCUGUAAUAAACUCACUCACUGACUUAAUAAUGAUUUUACAAGGAUUUUUAAAAGGGGUUUAAAAACGUUAAUAAUGAUUUUACAAGGAUUUUUAAAACGAUUAGUACCUGAGCAUUAGGGACAGAAUGAGAAACAAAAGGAUUUGAAGUAGUCUCAGCCUGUAAUAAGCACAAUCACUGACUUAAUAAUGAUUUUACAAGGAUUUUUUAAAUUAUAACACAAGAAGGUUAUUGAAAAACCUGCUCAACUGUCACAGAAAUUUGCUCUACAAUCAAACAUAACUGAAGCAAUCCUCCACUCUGUGAGAAUUUGUGCAUAAAAGUUGCAAGCUGUCUAUCGUUCCUAAUAUAAAGAGGAUGAGAUUGUAUGGUUGUAGACGUGGAGACUAACUUGUAACUAAGCUUCAAAGAAUUGGUUGAACUAUCUAUUUGAAAAUCCUCUACAAGAAUAUCAACCAACGCGUGAUAGGUAAUGUGCUCAUCAAUGAGCACUAAAGAAGCUCCCAAAUCAAUGUCUAAUUCAAAUUCCCAAGUCAUAUUGUUUGUCAACUUCCACAAGCCACAAACAGAAUACAAUUCUAGCAUUAUAACCUGAUAAGAUAAAUAACAACAAAAUCAACACCCACAAAAACACUGUCACUACAAAGAGAAGCAAGGUUUACAAAUCGUUUUAAAGCGUAAGUAAGUAGAAUAGAAUAAUUUACAAGGAUUUUAAAAGCUUUGAAAAGUGGUUAACAUGGUUUACAAAUCGUUUUAAAGCGUAAGUAAGUAGCAUAGAAUAAUUUACAAGAGAUUUUAAAUGCUUUGAAAAGUGGUUAACAUGGUUUACAAAUCGUUUUAAAGCAUAUGCAAAAGAGGUAAACACUAAAUCAGAACCAAAAUCUAUUACGAAAUAGUAUAACGAAUUCACAUAAGCAAAUCUAUCACGAAACAGUAUAACGAAUUCAAAAGGAUUUUAGAACAGUAUAACGAAUGUACAAGGAUUUUAGAAACAAAUUCAAUCAUCAAAUCUCAAACAAAAUUCAAAUUCGAAGCUGAAGCAAAUGUCAAACUGUCGAUUGAAUCAGGAUUCAAAUAACGAGUUCACAUAAUCAACAACAAAAAUCGAAUAAACCAAUUCGAAAACGAAGAUUUAAGCUAACAUUAUAAAAUCAAACCUGGGAAACGCAAGAGAUUCGACGGCGACACACAGCUCUACUUACGACGGCGAAGAUGGGUUUUCACGGCGAGUAAACUCAUUAUUUCCGACGGCAUGGGAUUCAACGGCAUUCACAAUUUCCGAUGGAGGAAGAAGAGAGAGAAUGAAGAAAUGAAUUAGGUCUGUGGAUAGCUCAUUAAGGGUAAUUUGGGGAGAAAAGUAUUAGAAAGGGUAGAAAUGAAAAUGGGGAAAAAAAGGGUAGAGUUGCAAAAGGGCAUUGAAAAAAGGGCAUUAGAGUGAAUUAUUCAAAAAACAAUACACUAUUCUCACUAUCUUAAUGGAAAAAUAUCGAAAAAACUCUAAACUUUCAAAUUUUGGAUGAAAAACUUUUAAUUAACUUCUCAAUAAUUAAAAAUUAAACGUAACUAAAUAAUAAUAGAUUUAAUUGCCCGUUAAAAACCAAAAUGACGUCGUUUUAAAGCUAAAAAUUAUACGUAAAAAAAAGUUAUCCACCAUGUACUCGAAUCAAAAACAU
rnacentral:sRNA from 1 species